rnacentral:rRNA from 1 species
GAUGAACGCUAGCGGCAGGCUUAACACAUGCAAGUCGAGGGGCAACACGGGUAGCAAUACCUGGUGGCGACCGGCGCAAGGGUGCGUAACGCGUGAGCAACAUGCCCUAUACAGGGGGAUAAUCCAGGGAAACUUGGUCUAAUAUCCCAUAGUAUUUAGAGGUGGCAUCACCACUAAAUUAAAGCUUCGGUGGUAUAGGAUUGGCUCGCGUGACAUUAGCUGGAUGGUGGGGUAACGGCUCACCAUGGCGAUGAUGUCUAGGGGUUCUGAGAGGAAGACCCCCCAACUGGGACUGAGACACGGCCCAGACUCCUACGGGAGGCAGCAGUGAGGAAUAUUGGACAAUGGAUGGAAAUCUGAUCCAGCCAUGCCGCGUGCAGGAAGACGGCCCUAUGGGUUGUAAACUGCUUUUAUAUGGGAGCAAUAAGGUUUACGCGUAGACCGAUGAGAGUACCAUAUGAAUAAGCAUCGGCUAACUCCGUGA